GGUAAUCUGUCACCUGGAAAAGUUAGGGGUGAACAGAGUAUGGAGCCAGCCUAGGCUGUUGUAGCCCAGUAAGACCAUGUCUUCUAAGGUGUUUGAGUGGAAGGCAUAAGAAUACUGUUUUGAGUAAUCAUCCUGGGAGUCAAAGUUUCAUCCAGGUUGCUUAAAUAAAACCCAAUUUUAACUUUUGUUAUUUUUUCAGACAGGGCUUAUCUUUUUUUGUUGUUUUUUCGAGACAGGGUUUCUCUGUGUAGCCCUGGCUGUCCUGGAACUCACUUUGUGGACCAGGCUGGCCUCGAACUCAGAAAUCCACCUGCCUCUGGGUGGGAGGGAGGCUCCACUUAUCAUUUCUGGAGACUGAGGCAGAUUGUUACUGUGAGUUUUGAGUUGAGCCUGUGAAUUCACAUUAGUGAAUUCUUUUUGGUUUUUCAAGACCGGGUUUGACCAGGCUGGACUCAAACUCAGAGUUUGGGAGGCAGUGCUUCUGCCUCCCAAGUGCUGGGAUUAAAGGCGUGCACCACCAUGCCCGGCUUCAGGGCUUAUCUAUAGCCCUAGCUGUCUUGAAACUUGUUCUGUAGACCAGGUUGGCCUGGCUCUGCCUCCCAAGAGAUUAAAGGCAUGCACUAUCACGCCCAGUUUUUAAAUUUGUAAGAUUUAAAAUGUUUUAAAUGUAUGUACGUUUGCCUGUAUGUAUAUGCACCAUGUGCAUACUUGUUACCUGAGGUCAGAAAGGGGUAAUUAAUUGGUCCCUGAAAUUCCUUGGAGUUAGCCAUGAAUAUGAGCCACCAUAUGGAUGCUAGGAACUGAACCCAGGUCUCUUCAAGGUCCAGCGGUGCUUAACUGCUGCACCAUCUCUUCAGCCCCUAAAUUUGAUUAGAAGUGCAUUGUAAUAGAUAAAUAAAAACCUAUUUGGUGGUGGUGCACCAAAUAUUUAAUCCCAGCACUCUGGAGGGAGAGGCAGUCACAUCUGAGUUUGAGGCCAUCCUGCUCUACACAACAAGUUCAGGACAGUCAGGGCUUUAAAGAAAAACUUUUAUCUCCAGAAAAUAAAUAAAUGAAACUACAUUUUUCUUUUUCUAUCUGGAGAGAUGGUUCCACAGUUAAGAAUGCCUUUGGCUCCUCCAGAGGAAGAGUUUGGUCUGGCAGCCUAGAAUUAUAGCUCUGAGAGAUUUGACUUUUUUGGCUUCCACAGGUACCCACCCAGCAUGUAAGCAUGCAUAUGCAUAUAUACAUACCUAUAAACUUGUUUAUUUUUCAAGACAGGGUUUCUCUGUGUAGCCUUGGCUGUCCUGGAACUCUUCUGUAGGCCAGGCUGGCCUUGAACUCAGAAAUCUACCUGCCUCUGCAACUCUUUAAUUGUUGUGUUUUGAGGCUGAGUCUCACUGUGUAUCUCUCACUGGACUAGAACUCAGAGUUUUACCUGCCAUUCUGCACCACAUGCAUGCCUGGUGCCUUUAGAAGUCAGAAGAGGGCAUUGGUUUCUCUGGAACUGGAGUCAGAUGGUUGUGAACUGCAAUGUGGAUGCUGAGAAUUGAGGCUGGAUCCUCUGCAAGAGCAACAAGUGCUCUUCAUUGCUGAGCCAUCUCUCCAGCCUGCUAAAUGCUGGGACUUUAAGGAUGUGUGCUACAACUAACAUUAUUCUUAAUGAAAAGUUGUGAGUUGAUGGUUUCUACAUCAUAGACUGGCAAUGGUCCUGUGAAUGGUAAGCCAGUGCCCCACCCCACCCUGUAAUGCAUCUCCGACCCUUUCUAAUUUUUAUACAAUACUUAGAAUUAUACACCUGUUAUCACCAGUCUGAGUUUAUAACUGUGUUUUCUAAGCAACAGAUGCACACUGUGCUCAUUGAGGUUUUAUUGUUGACUAAACUGUAGCUAUGUAUGUCUCCAAAAGAACUGAGUAUUUGCAAACAGCCCACGAACCUUAAGAUUACCUUGAUAUUACCUGUCAGCCCUUUGGAAAGACUUUCUGACUUCAGGCUUUGAUUAAAAGGGAUUUGAAAGAGUCAAAUACAGUGUAUAAGCCUUGAUUUAUCUUAGUUCCAUGAGAAAAGAGGUCAGAUAUUGAAUACAGGAUAAUAGUAAAUGGUUUGGAAGAAUUGUGUCACUUUUUAGAUGUAAUAAUGGCACUAUAGUUAAUUAGAAGAAUAACCUUAGUUUUUAAGGGUAGGAAGAAGUAGCCGGGCGUGGUGGAGCACGCCUUUAAUCCCAGCAGAGGCAGGCGGAUUUCUGAGUUUGAGGCCAGCCUGGUCCACAGAGUGAGUUCCAGGACAGCCAGGGCUACAGAGAAACCCUGUCUCAAAAAAAAAAAAAAACCCAAAGGAGUAGGAAGAAGUAUUCUGACCUCUAAUUUACUUUCAAGUAGUUCAACAGAAUUCAUGGCUAUAAAUAGAUGGAGCCAGUAUAGCAAUAUGUUACAGUUGUCACUAGUGGUAUAUUGCUUUGCUGUUUGUUAUGGUGUUUCCCUUUUUCCUGUAUCUUUUAAUGGUCGCAAUAAAAAGAAAUCCUGUUUUU
rnacentral:lncRNA from 1 species